rnacentral:tRNA from 1 species
UUCCCUCUGGCUCAGCUGGUAAAGAAUCCGCCUGCAAUGCGGGAGACCUGGGUUCGAUCCCUGGGUUGGGAA